CCUAGCACAUCACGGUAGUGCAGCGGCGCACAGAUCGUGGCGAGGAAAAAAGAAGACACGAACGCACGUUUCAGUGGCGUAUCUUCUCGACUUCGCUGUAUCGCCUUUUCCCUCUGCAAACAAUGGAGUCUCUGUCUCGACUAGCCUACGGACCGUCGCCACCGCCGACAGACGCCAAGGGACAGUCACGAGGCCGCAACACGGGCAAAAAGCAGCGCUUUUCUCCUCCGUCUUCGGCGCAUGCGGACGCUGCCCACGCCGCCACCGCACCGCAUCGUAAGCGAGAGGCAAAACGUCUCGUGGAGGAGUACUGGCAGUCGGUCUGGCAUUCCCACCAUGAGCCGCCGUUGUACCACACCUACUCGGAUCGCUACGGCGGCUCCAAAGGGAUCCCUUACGCUUCACGGAAAGCUGCUCAGGGCGGCAGCGCCGCUAGCUCUGGCGCUGCAGCCUACAGCGCGAGCGUGCCCGACUGCUUGACGAAAGCAGACGCCGCCUUCAGCAACGGACAGCUGGCAGAGGCGAAGGCGAAACUUCAACAUGCUCUUACAGUGCUUCAGAACGCCGCCGAGCCGCGCGGCUUGUUGACCGUGGCGGCUCUGACUCAGUUCCGCAGCGACUGUGCCGAGGACGCGCAGCGGUCGUUCUGGCUGGCAGAGGUGCUCCGGAGGAUGGGAACCUUGGAGCUCAUUCACGGACACUGCGCGGAGGCGCGUGAGUUGUUCAAUGGAAGCAUCGCCGCUGGUCCACUCAACCCAGACAGCUACCUUUUGCGUGCCUCCUGCUGCGAGGCGCUCCGCUGCUUUGCCGAGGCGUACGAGGACUAUUCCAAGUACAUGAAAAUGACGGAGCCGUCGAUGGACGUGCUGGCGCACAGCGGCAAGUGCGCCGCCGAGGCAGGUCUGUCGGAGAUGGCACGAGAACAGCUGGGACGUCUGCUCGAGUUGUCGGAAGAGGUGCUCGCCAGUACUGCUGCCACGCAGCAGCAGGUGGUAGAUGCUGCAAGCACUCCAAGCACACACCGGGUGCUCUCGUCGCUGCCACCCCUCACGAGCGCAGCGUGGGCUGCCGGCUCCCUCACCCAGAACACGGGCGCCGGCGCCCCUUCAAGUCUCGAGCUGCUUCGCAGCUCAUGCGCCUUCUACGUUACUCAUGCGUACUUUUAUCUUGGCUACGUUGCCGAGGCUGAAGCGGCUUCGACGACAUCGGUGACGCCUGCGGAGGCGUCCGCAUUGCGUCGUAAGGCCUCAUCGUACUACAGCGUAGCGGUGCGCAACGCAGACUACGUGCACUCUUACGAGGACAGCGUGAGGAGGUCGAUGGCGGCCGGCGACUACGCGCUUGCUCGCUACUUGCUGCGGUACCUUCAGAGGAUGAAACCCGACCGCGCCGGCUACUUCCUCGACGCCGCACGGGCGUGCCGCGCAGAGGGUGAUAUUCAAGGAGAGCUUCGAGCGCUUUCUGCGGCACUGGACCGCCAGCAGACCAUCACCGAGCGCCGCUCCACUCUCUUCGCCCGCGGCGCUGUGUAUGCGGACCAACUACAUGACUGGUCGCGUGCUAUCCGUGACUUCACGCUGCUCAUCGCCAUUCCCUCGGUGCGGCAGCCGGUGGCGGAGGCUGACGGCGUGGCGGCCGUGGUGGACUGGUUCACGCCGCUAGCGCUAGUGCGACGCGCCGCGGCGUACCGUAGCCGCCAAAAGGAAAGUAGCCGCUCUAGCUUACUGCAGCAUGAGGAUGAGGAGGCGGCCCUCUCUGACUACGCCGCAUUUCUCGACGCGCUCGCCGAGAUGACCGCGGAAACCGGGUGCGAGACGACCGACGUGCCGGAGCUGUGCCAGCCGCCCCACGUCGUAGCAGCUCUUCUAGUACUUGCUAAUGGGGCCUAUCACCGCCAUCAGUAUUCCAAUGCGGUGCACUAUUUCUGUCGCGCCAUCGCUCUUGGGUGGCAUCCCGAGUCCUCCAUGCCCGCGCUUCUUUCAGCAACUGAACGGCUGGCGGAUCAGCUGUACACGUCGAUGGCGCAUCACGUCAUGACUGUAUAUCCGCCCGGCGAUGACAUGUUCCGUGUGCCGUACGAGGCACGCCAGGCUACGACGCUGUCGAUCACUAGCUCUAUCAUGACGUCCGCCGAGGCUCGACGGGCCAUGAAAUCGAAUGAGCGCGGCAACGCUGGCGGCAACCGCGUCCCCAGCGCUGAGAGCGAGCGCAGCGGGUUUGCGUGCCCGCCACUACUGUACCUAAUGGUGGAUCAGCGCUAUCAGCAGCUGCGUGCGCUCGAGCCCACGUUCUUCGCCGCCAUCGAGGACGAGUUCUUGGAUGCGUGGGAGCCCUAUCGCGCCGAGGUGGAACGACUCAAAGACGAGGCCCUCUCCACCCGCGCAGGCAGGCGUGGAAAGCGAUGAGACUGGCGCCAAAGCCACUGGGGUAGGUGUUGCAGUGCCGGGGUGUUUUGGAGCGGAACGCUCGGGCUUGGGAGCAUGUGUGGCGCGAUUCAUGACACCCAAGAAGACCAUGUACUGUCUACUCGUGUUACACCACCUCCACUCCGUCUCCCGCGUUAUGUACAUUAGCUAGUAGGGAGCUUCGAGGCACGCCCUUCUGUCUGUUGGCCACCGCAGUGAAGGAUGCGGCUUCUCAUUUUUUCCCCUUUCUUUGCCUCUGUGCUACGGCAAGCAACGCGGCAAACCCCCUCCUUUCCUUUUUCUCUACGGUGGCACUCGCCAGCGUGCGCGUGCGCGUGCGUCUCUCUCUCUGUUGGUUUUCGUGGAGCGCAGGAGUGACACAGACGAGGCAUCGCGCGGGAAAGCGAAAGAGAAGAGGGAAGAGCUAGCAUGUGUACGACUCACCAAAUCGAAUGGGCCGAAGAACAGAGCGAAAGACGCGCGAAUGGAAGUGGAUCUGUGUGCGUGUGUGCAUGUAGUGUCUACCACACAGAG
rnacentral:misc_RNA from 1 species